rnacentral:rRNA from 1 species
CACGUAGGGCGCGAGCGUUGUCCGGAAUUAUUGGGCGUAAAGAGCUCGUAGGCGGUUUGUCGCGUCGGCUGUGAAAACCUGGGGCUCAACCCCGGGCCUGCAGCCGAUACGGGCAAACUAGAAUUCGGUAGGGGAGACUGGAAUUCCUGGUGUAGCGGUGAAAUGCGCAGAUAUCAGGAGGAACACCGGUGGCGAAGGCGGGUCUCUGGGCCGAUAUUGACGCUGAGGAGCGAAAGCGUGGGGAGCAAACAGG